AUUGAACGCUGGCGGCAUGCCUUACACAUGCCAGUCGAACGGCAGCGCGGGAGCAAUCCUGGCGGCGAGUGGCGAACGGGUGAGUAAUACAUCGGAACGUGCCCAAUCGUGGGGGAUAACGCAGCGAAAGCUGUGCUAAUACCGCGUACGAUCUACGGAUGAAAGCAGGGGAUCGCAAGACCUUGCGCGAAUGGAGCGGCCGAUGGCAGAUUAGGUAGUUGGUGAGGUAAAGGCUCACCAAGCCUUCGAUCUGUAGCUGGUCUGAGAGGACGACCAGCCACACUGGGACUGAGACACGGCCCAGACUCCUACGGGAGGCAGCAGUGGGGAAUUUUGGACAAUGGGCGAAAGCCUGAUCCAGCCAUGCCGCGUGCAGGAUGAAGGCCUUCGGGUUGUAAACUGCUUUUGUACGGAACGAAACGGUCUUUUCUAAUAAAGAAGGCUAAUGACGGUACCGUAAGAAUAAGCACCGGCUAACUACGUG
rnacentral:rRNA from 1 species